ACUUACAGAUAAAGUUACAGCAAAUAUAGUCUUCACAGAUUUGGGUAAAUUUAUUUGCAUUUUAUAGUGAUGUCUAAGCCCUAUAUCCAAUGAAACCAUUUUUUAUUUCUCUAUGAGGAAUGGAAAUUUAGAUGUCUAUUACCCUUUACUUUAAAAAAGAAAAAAAAAACACUUAAAUUUCUGAAUGAGCAAGAUUCAC